GACAGAGGUGCCAAGCGUUAGGCGGAAUCACUGGGCUUAAAGCGUGUGUAGGCGGAUCGUUAAGUACCUUGUGAAAUCCCACGGCUCAACCGUGGAACUGCUCGGUAUACUGGCGGUCUUGAGCCACCUAGGGGCAGCUGGAACAAGCGGUGGAGCGGUGAAAUGCGUAGAGAUCGGGAGGAACACCAGCGGCGAAGGCGGCGACCUGGACAAGUACUGACACUCAACUACGAAAGCGUGGGGAGCAAACAGG
rnacentral:rRNA from 1 species